AAUACGUAGGCAGCGAGCGUUGUUCGGAGUUACUGGGCGUAAAGCGUGCGUAGGCGGUGGUCCAAGUCUGGUGUGAAAUCUCCCGGCUCAACUGGGAGGGUGCGCCGGAAACUGGGCCGCUGGAGUACGGGAGAGGCAAGCGGAAUUCCUGGUGUAGCGGUGAAAUGCGUAGAUAUCAGGAAGAACACCCGUGGUGCAGACGGCUUGCUGGACCGUGACUGACGCUGAGGCACGAAAGCGUGGGUAGCAAACAGGA
rnacentral:rRNA from 1 species